rnacentral:misc_RNA from 1 species
AAGUCGUAACAAGGUUUCCGUAGGUGAACCUGCGGAAGGAUCAUUAUUGAAUAAACUUGGUCAAGUUGUUGCUGGUCCUUCGGGGCAUGUGCACGCUUGCCACCAAUUUUAACCACCUGUGCACCUUUUGUAGGCUGGAAACAAUUCUCGAGACAACUCGGUUUGAGGACUGCUGUGCGAAAGCUGGCUUUCCUUGUGUUUCUCAGUCUAUGUUUUAUAUACCCCCGCAUGUAUGUAUCAGAAUGUAUUGCUGGGCCAUAGUGCUUAUAAAUCAAAUACAA